rnacentral:rRNA from 1 species
CCUACGGGUGGCAGCAGUGAGGAAUAUUGGUCAAUGGACGAGAGUCUGAACCAGCCAAGUAGCGUGAAGGAUGACUGCCCUAUGGGUUGUAAACUUCUUUUAUAUGGGAAUAAAAUGUUCCACGUGUGGGAUUUUGUAUGUACCAUAUGAAUAAGGAUCGGCUAACUCCGUGCCAGCAGCCGCGGUAAUACGGAGGAUCCGAGCGUUAUCCGGAUUUCUUGGGUUUAAGGGGAGCGUAGGUGGAUUGUUAAGUCAGUUGUGAAAGUUUGCGGCUCAACCGUAAAAUUGCAGUUGAAAAUGGCGGACUUGAGUACAGUAGGGGUGGGCGGAAUUCGGGGUGUGGCGGUGAAAUGCUUAGAAAUCACGAAGAACUCCGAUUGCGAAGGCAGCUAACUGGACUGAACCGGACACUGGGGCUCGAAGGUGUGGGUAUAAACAGGAUUAGAUACCCCUGUAGUC